rnacentral:lncRNA from 1 species
AUUGGAAUUGGUCAAACAUUCUCGGUUAUUGAGAGAAAGAAGCAAAACCUCGCUCUCUGUGUGUGUGUGUGUCUGUGUGUUUUUUCUUUUCUUUUCGUUUUUUUGGGGUGGGGAGGUAGGGGGGGCGGGGAGAGGAUGUUUCAUGUUGAUCUUUCUGCCAAAUGCCAAACAUGACGGAAGCUGGUAGUAUAAUUCUCAGGUAAUUAAAAUAUAACAUGACAAUUAAACAACAAUUAUCGCUUGGAGCUGUCAAACUCAUUUUAGAUGGCAUCAGAUGAUCAUAAUGCUGAUGACAUUGGCAUCAGGAAGAAUAUUUUUGAGUAUACAUUCUCUUUUAUAUUGGAAACUAUUUGAUGGCAGUCAGUUUCAAAUUUUAUAUUAGUAUGUAGCUCUUUCAACCAUAAUGGUUUAUAAACUAUGAACAACUAAGUAAACAAAAUGUGGCUCUGUAUCAAAACAUUUUCUCUUAUUUUGGAACCAUAUUGUUUUUUGGUUCAUUGUAUUGAUCAAGGUGCUGAAUACACAAGUAGGAAUAAGACAUAUCAUGUCUAUGUCAAACAUACAAAUUUGUGACACAAUUGGAUAUAGGACAUAUUUGAGAGUCUGUUGCUGCAAUGGAAGAAGAUCUGAACUAAUGACCUAUUAGACAUUAUGGUGUAGAGCCAAAGGAUCGAGACAACCUAUAGGGAGUUUGGUAUGAAUUAGUCAUUCUGGAUCCCUUCAUGAGUCUAGAAGAGAUGCUUGGUGCCCCUUCUUAUGAUGCCUGAUUCCACGUAUAUUGUAGUCGAUUUUUUCAGUUUGACACCCUAUUACUUUUAUUGAUUGACAUAAAAAAAGUAGAAGUAGACUGUAAUGCUAUGCACAUGUAAGGGUGUUUGACUUUUUUUCUUAUAGCUUUUGUUUGGAUAAGUAAAUUAGUGUCCCUUCCUGAAUUUGGAAAACUGGUUGAUUUGUAUUGAAUUGAAGGUGAAAUGGCUUAUAGGUGUCGGGGUAUUUACCACCCAAACUGCUAGACCUAGGUUGAGUGGUUGGGCGUGGCUUGAGCUUCGUUUGCCUCGAACAAACUCAUUCAAAUGAGAACCAAGAGCUAUGCCCAAGUAUCUUUGAGGAUGGGAUUUUAUGUCCACUCUCUUCUUCUUUUCCACUAUUUGAAGGUAGAAGAAAGAGGAAGGGGGACAAUGCUUAGGGUUGAUUUUGUGUUGAAUCAUCCCUCAAAUUUGCAAUUUUGGAACUGGAAAUUCCUUCUAGUUGGGC